rnacentral:rRNA from 1 species
AUUGAACGCUGGCGGCAGGCCUAAUACAUGCAAGUCGAACGGUAACAUAAAAGAAGCUUGCUUCUUUUGAUGACGAGUGGCGGACGGGUGAGUAAUAUUUGGGAAACUACCUGAUAGAGGGGGACAACAGUUGGAAACGACUGCUAAUACCGCAUAUAGCCUAAGGGUGAAAGCAGCAAUGCGCUAUCAGAUGUGCCCAAACGGGAUUAGCUAGUAGGUGAGGUAAAGGCUCACCUAGGCGACGAUCUCUAGCUGGUCUGAGAGGAUGAUCAGCCACAUUGGGACUGAGACACGGCCCAGACUCCUACGGGAGGCAGCAGUAGGGAAUAUUGCACAAUGGAGGAAACUCUGAUGCAGCCAUGCCGCGUGUGUGAAGAAGGCCUCCGGGUUGUAAAGCACUUUCGGAGGGGAGGAAAAGAUGACGUUACCCUCAGAAGAAGCACCGGCUAACUCCGUG